rnacentral:tRNA from 1 species
GGGCCCGUAGUCGAACUGUGUUUUCCGGGAAAUCCUGAACAUACGACAGCGGUUAAGACGUUCGCCUCACACGCGAAAGAUUCGCGGUUCAAUUCCGCGCGGGCCCA